UGCAGUCGAACGGCAGCGGGGGAAAGCUUGCUUUCCUGCCGGCGAGUGGCGAACGGGUGAGUAAUACAUCGGAACGUGCCCUGUAGUGGGGGAUAACUAGUCGAAAGAUUAGCUAAUACCGCAUACGACCUGAGGGUGAAAGUGGGGGACCGCAAGGCCUCAUGCUAUAGGAGCGGCCGAUGUCUGAUUAGCUAGUUGGUGGGGUAAAGGCCCACCAAGGCGACGAUCAGUAGCUGGUCUGAGAGGACGAUCAGCCACACUGGGACUGAGACACGGCCCAGACUCCUACGGGAGGCAGCAGUGGGGAAUUUUGGACAAUGGGGGCAACCCUGAUCCAGCAAUGCCGCGUGUGUGAAGAAGGCCUUCGGGUUGUAAAGCACUUUUGUCCGGAAAGAAAUCGCACUGGUUAAUACCUGGGUGUGGAUGACGGUACCGGAAGAAUAAGGACCGGCUAACUACGUGCCAGCAGCCGCGGUAAUACGUAGGGUCCAAGCGUUAAUCGGAAUUACUGGGCGUAAAGCGUGCGCAGGCGGUUGUGCAAGACCGAUGUGAAAUCCCCGGGCUUAACCUGGGAAUUGCAUUGGUGACUGCACGGCUAGAGUGUGUCAGAGGGGGGGUAGAAUUCCACGGUGUAGCAGUGAAAUGCGUAGAGAUGUGGAGGAAUACCGAUGGCGAAGGCAGCCCCCUGGGAUAACACUGACGCUCAUGCACGAAAGCGUGGGGAGCAAACAGGAUUAGAUACCCCUGGUAGUCCACGCCCUAAACGAUGUCAACUAGUUUGUUGGGGAUUCAUUUCCUUAGUAACGUAGCUAACGCGUGAAGUUGACCGCCCUGGGGGAGUACGGUCGCAAGAUUAAAACUCAAAGGAAUUGACGGGGACCCGCACAAGCGGUGGAUGAUGUGGAUUAAUUCGAUGCAACGCGAAAAACCUUACCUACCCUUGACAUGCCACUAACGAAGCAGAGAUGCAUUAGGUGCUCGAAAGAGAAAGUGGACACAGGUGCUGCAUGGCUGUCGUCAGCUCGUGUCGUGAGAUGUUGGGUUAAGUCCCGCAACGAGCGCAACCCUUGUCUCUAGUUGCUACGAAAGGGCACUCUAGAGAGACUGCCGGUGACAAACCGGAGGAAGGUGGGGAUGACGUCAAGUCCUCAUGGCCCUUAUGGGUAGGGCUUCACACGUCAUACAAUGGUGCAUACAGAGGGUUGCCAAGCCGCGAGGUGGAGCUAAUCCCAGAAAAUGCAUCGUAGUCCGGAUCGUAGUCUGCAACUCGACUACGUGAAGCUGGAAUCGCUAGUAAUCGCGGAUCAGCAUGCCGCGGUGAAUACGUUCCCGGGUCUUGUACACACCGCCCGUCACACCAUGGGAGUGGGCUUUACCAGAAGUAGUUAGCCUAACCGCAAGGAGGGCGAUACC
rnacentral:rRNA from 1 species